rfam:Fukomys damarensis contig114729, whole genome shotgun sequence.
CCAAAGGCUCUUUUCAGAGCCACCUACAAAUCUUGCAGAAAGAGCU